rnacentral:rRNA from 1 species
GGAGGAAAGUAGGGGAUCGAAAGACCUUAUGCUUUUGGAGCGGCCGAUGUCUGAUUAGCUAGUUGGUAAGGUAAUGGCUUACCAAGGCGACGAUCAGUAGUUGGUCUGAGAGGACGGCCAGCCACACUGGGACUGAGACACGGCCCAGACUCCUACGGGAGGCAGCAGUGGGGAAUUUUGGACAAUGGGCGCAAGCCUGAUCCAGCAAUGCCGCGUGAGUGAAGAAGGCCUUCGGGUUGUAAAGCUCUUUCAGUUGAGAAGAAAAGAUUGUGACUAAUAAUUGCAAUUCAUGACGGUAUCAACAGAAGAAGCACCGGCUAACUACGUGCCGGCAGCCGCGGUAAUACGUAGGGUGCGAGCGUUAAUCGGAAUUACUGGGCGUAAAGGGUGCGCAGGCGGCUCUGCAAGUCAGAUGUGAAAUCCCCGGGCUUAACCUGGGAACUGCGUUUGAAACUACAAGGCUAGA